rnacentral:rRNA from 1 species
AAACCACGAUAGGUCACGAUUUCUGGAAUGGAUCAUGGCCUAAAUCUACAUGGCCCCUGGAUUGGACUGCGGCCGAUCAGGCAGUUGGUGAGGUAAUGGCCCACCAAACCUAUAACCGGUACGGGCUCUGAGAGGAGAAGCCCGGAGAUGGGCACUGAGACAAGGGCCCAGGCCCUAUGGGGCGCAGCAGGCGCGAAACCUCUGCAAUAGGCGAAAGCCUGACAGGGUUACUCUGAGUGAUUUCCGCUAAGGGGAUCUUUUGGCACCUCUAAAAAUGGUGCAGAAUAAGGGGUGGGCAAGUCUGGUGUCAGCCGCCGCGGUAAUACCAGCACCCCGAGUGGUCGGGACGAUUAUUGGGCCUAAAGCAUCCGUAGCCGGUUCUGCAAGUCUUCCGUUAAAUCCAGCCGCUCAACGGAUGGGCCGCGGAGGAUACUAUAGGACUAGGAGGCGGGAGAGGCAAGCGGUACUCAGUGGGUAGGGGUAAAAUCCUUUGAUCCAUUGAAGACCACCGGUGGCGAAGGCGGCUUGCCAGAACGCGCUCGACGGUGAGGGAUGAAAGCUGGGGGAGCAAACCGGAUUAGAUACCCGGGUAGUCCCAGCUGUAAACGAUGCAGACU